rnacentral:rRNA from 1 species
GAUGAACGCUGGCGGCGUGCUUAACACAUGCAAGUCGAACGAAGAUGCCGGAGUGCUUGCACUUUGGCAGACUGAGUGGCGGACGGGUGAGUAACGCGUGGGUAACCUGCCUUAUACAGGGGGAUAACAGUUGGAAACGACUGCUAAUACCGCAUAAGCGCACGGUAUCGCAUGAUACAGUGUGAAAAACUCCGGUGGUAUAAGAUGGACCCGCGUCUGAUUAGCUUGUUGGUGAGGUAACGGCCCACCAAGGCGACGAUCAGUAGCCGGCCUGAGAGGGUGAACGGCCACAUUGGGACUGAGACACGGCCCAAACUCCUACGGGAGGCAGCAGUGGGGAAUAUUGCACAAUGGGGGAAACCCUGAUGCAGCGACGCCGCGUGAGUGAUGAAGUAUUUCGGUAUGUAAAACUCUAUCAGCAGGGAAGAUAAUGACGGUACCUGACUAAGAAGCACGGCUAAAUACGUGCCAGCAGCCGCGG